ensembl:lncRNA
GUGUGUGGUUUGACACGUACCUUGGGAAACAUUUGCUCAGUGUAGUCCUGUUCCUGCUGUGAGAGGAGGAAGGCUGCAGAGUUCUUCCCAGCCCCUCUUUCUGGAAGUCUCUCUCCAGCCCCUCUCUCUGGAAGUCUCUCUCCAGCCCCUCUUUCUGGAAGUCUCUCUCCAGCUCCUCUUUCUGGAAGUCUCUCCCCAGCCCCUCUUUCUGGAAGUCUCUCUCCCGGCAUAAGCCCUCUCCCUGUCUCUGAAUGGACAAUCUGUGAGGAAACAUCAUAUUACACACUGAGAUAGGCCUCACAGUCAGUUAGCUCAGGUUUGAACACUCCCCACCCCCACAGAAUGAAAUGGCGCAAACUAGCUACUCGAUUUGAUUCAAGCUAGCUAGGGCACACAACACUUGGUUUUGGGUUUCAAGAUUAGUAUGACCAGAACCUCACACCCUAACUGGUAAGGUCCUCUCCAGGGGGGCCCAACCUCCUCCCUGUGCUGCCCAGUUGGCAGGCCUCUCGGUCGGGUAACACAUCACCGUACUGAUACCCCUCAUCCUCCCUGGCCAUCACAUCUCUAUUCAACGUGUGUGUGAGCCGCACAGUACGUGUCGCAUUGUUAAUAUAUUCCUAAUGAUGUGCUACUUCUCAAGGGUACCCUCGUGGCGACGACACUCACACCCGAUAACACUGAUCUCUGGGGUGAAGACACACUUUGUCUGGUGGUUGAUAACUGGCACCACAGAGGAGCUAGAGAAGAGAGGAGCAGGGUGGGGUUUACUCACAGAGGAGAGAGGAGCAGGGUGGGUUUUACUCACAGAGGAGAGAGGAGCAGGGUAGGGUUUACUCACAGAGGAGAGAGGAGCAGGGUAGGGUUUGGAGAAUGAGAGAGAGAACAGAGAGAGGAUAGAAGUGAUCAGAAAGGGGGGAUACCUAGUCAGUUGUACAACUGAAUGCCUUCAACUGAAAUGUGUCUUCCGCAUUUAAACCAAACCCCUCUGAAUCAGAGAAUUCCAGAACCACAUCACCAAAUCACAUUUGUGCACGAGUCAGGUACUCAAGUAAAUGAGUCAGGUACUCACGAGUACCGCAUAAAAAGUACCGCACGAGUCAGGUCCUCAAGUAAAUGAGUCAGGUACUCACGAGUACCGCAUAAAAAGUACCGCACGAGUCAGGUACUCAAGUAAAUGAGACGUUUAUGACUUAACAUCAAAAGUUCAUUUCCAGUGAGUCGACACAUAGCACAUACCUCAUAACCGUAAAUCCUGACAUUGACUAAGAUUCUCUCUGCUGAGAAGGAGUCUUUGCCUUAUUUACGUUUUCCAUUUAGUGAGGUCAAAAUACCUCUGUAUGUUAUCUACAGUACUGACAUAUCUAAUACUCCAUACGGAUCAUACACAGACAGCUGUGAAAUUCAACACUGUGAUGAGAUCACAACUAGAGGUCCAUAAAAAACGGGGGAAACUUAAAUAGAAUAAUAAAUCAUACACAUAAAUUACUAAACAGAUGGUUUUAUAUUAAAAGUAAACGAGCAAGGCACUUCGGCUCUCAUUGCUUUAUUUUUGAGAGACGGGGAGGGGAAGGGAGGUGGGUAUUUCUUGGGGAUGUGGGGAAUGCCGUCCUGGCAAAGAAGGCUCUGUGCCCGUGUGUGUGUGUGUGUGUGGGGGGGCCCAGCAUCCUGAUGUCCUGGGUGGGCCCAGCAUCCUGAUGUCCUGGGUGGGCCCAGCAUCCUGAUGUCCUGGGUGGGCCCAGCAUCC